rnacentral:rRNA from 1 species
UACGUAGGGUGCAAGCGUUAAUCGGAAUUACUGGGCGUAAAGCGUGCGCAGGCGGUUUUGUAAGUUUGUCGUGAAAGCCCCGGGCUCAACCUGGGAAUUGCGAUGAAGACUGCAAGGCUUGAAUCUGGCAGAGGGGGGUAGAAUUCCACGUGUAGCAGUGAAAUGCGUAGAGAUGUGGAGGAACACCGAUGGCGAAGGCAGCCCCCCUGGGUCAAGAUUGACGCUCAUGCACGAAAGCGUGGGGAGCAAACAGG